CCAGCAUUCAAAGGAAUGCUGGAGCAGAGAAGUCAUCCAGGCUAGUGGGUGGAAAUUGAAACGUGACAGAGCCGACAGGAUGAACACUCAAGGGCAGACGAGAAGGGACUCAUGAAGUAAGUGGUUAGUGCGGGGUGAGAAGUGGUUUGAAGGCUACCUCAGUGUCAGGAGUCACCUACAUAGGCUAGCAGGUGAUUUUCCUAAAGGUGGCCCUGCCAUUUUUGCAUGGUCUUUGAUGGGUGAGCUCUAAGAGGCAAGGCCCAAAAGAGACAUCAUCUCAGCAUUUCUUCUUAGAGCUGGUAAAUCUUUUCUGUCACUGUCAAAUUAAUAUAACAAUCCCUGGGUCUUAGCCCACCCUCUUGGGCAGAUUUUCUGCAGAUCAGCAAAGAUGUACUCUCUUGUGGCAAUGCUAUGUAGACAAGUAGAUGAUUUCAUAAUUCCUAAUAAUGAGUAUAUAGAAUUCCUAAAUUUAUACAAGUAAAAUUUGAGCCCUUUAUAACAUAGGCUGCAACUAGGACUGUGCAAACCUUAUGUGUCUCAGGGCUAAUUGCACUGAGAUAGAAAGCCAUCUUGAAACAGAUUUAUGAUCAAGGAAAACAUUCCUUUUAGGCUGGUUGUAAAACCACUAUCUGAUAACUAGAGGUGUAAGGAUAAAAAAAUAUAAAAUAUUGUCUGGUUUAUUAUACAAAACUUCAAUACUAACAAGACACAAGGCAGGUGAUUUGCCUCUUGACAAAACCACGCUAACUUGAGACAUAAGAAUUGUUGUUUUAAACUCCUAAUGAACCUGUGGAGCUAGUGACAGAUAAUGGAUGUUUAAUUAGAUAGCCAGUCUUAAUGGAAACUCCUGUAAUAACCUAUUCAAUUUUUGGUUUGCAUUUAUGUUUGAACUUGGCUAUGAACUUAUAAAAAAGGAUGCUUUAGAAUGUCAUGUGAUCGUGUCCUGAAAAAGUGCAAGAACUAGGAGGGAUGACAAGGAGAGAGCAGAAGAGAGAGAAGGCAGAAGAGAGAGGAGAAAGUGAGCAGAGAGAGGAGAGAGAGAGAGAGAGAGAGAGAGAGAGAGCGAGCACAGAGACAGAGAGGGGUGUGUGUGUGUGUGUGUGUGUGUGUGUGUGUGUGUGUGUAAGCAUGGAUACUUGUGGAGUGGAAGAAACAGGCGGUUGGACUAGACAAAAAUGUAAAUAUGAGGGGUUGGGGAUUUAGCUCAGUGGUAGAGCGCUUGCCUAGCAAGCGCAAGGCCCUGGGUUCGGUCCCCAGCUCCAAAAAAAUGUAAAUAUGUCUCUGAAUGUGUGUGUGUAUACAUGUGUAUAAAUUUCUGUGCAUACUUGCUUAUGUAAAAGUUUUUCUUUCUACAAGUUGACUUUGUUUUCCUGGUUCACUAAAGGUAAAUUGCUCUAAGAUGCCCUCUCACAUAGGCACUGAGAAGUGAGGUUUCCGUGCAAGACAGAAAGGAGCCUUAGCACUAAAUCCUCCACUGAAUUCCCUGCUGCCAUACAGCCUGUGUUAGUUGACAGAGAAUUAUAACGUAAGUUUAUAAAGUUAGACUUAAGUUUUCCAGCGCUUACCCAAGCACUGAGAAUUAUAAAGCAAAUAGUAAGAGAUAAAGACAUAAGCCUCUCCAGUGCUUCAUGAGGCACAGAACAGGAAGAAAGAGUUAAGUUCCCUACGAGGCCAGAGGUCAUCAGUCCUUUGGCCUACAUCUGAUGCUGUGUCUGGCUUCAACCCAUUCCAGCUGGAUCAGGCAUUUUGGGUUCCCUCUGUUAUCAACCCUCCACCCUGCCUUCCUCUUUCUCUCUCUGGAGUGGCUCCUUCAGCUGCUGUAGAGACUAUUCGCUUGUCACUUGCUGUCCUGGGACUACUGCCUAACCCAAGAGGAACCUCCGUCUAGGCCAUCCUCAGAUCCUGAGUUCUCUGGGUCUCCUGGAAGACAACUUUGUACACAGAACCACGUGCACAGGGGCUGAGGAAAUCAGAUCAUAGAAGUAUUCUGGGAAGGAAAACAUCAGACGAGAAUGAAGAAAAGCCUCAGGAAGGACUUUCAGAUUCCCUGACCCAACACUGCCCAAUAUGAGUCACCUCAGAGGCGGGAAGGUCCAUUGCCUCAGUCCUACGGCUUGUUUGCCCCACAAUGCUGUCCAAGAUGCAGUCAUGAGGGCCACAUUCAAGUCUUCCAUCAAAGACCAUGAGGCAGGGUCUCCCAAUUUCUAUUGACACAGGCAUGGUUCCUCCGGCCAAAAUUGCCCUUUCUUCGUUUGUGUUAUUCUGAGCACCAUUCUUCCUCUGUGUCUGCCUCCCUCUGUGUGUCUGUGGUGUAUCAGAGCCCAGGAUCUGAGCCCUCCGCUUCUCCGUCAGUCUGGGAUCUGCACGGCAGCCAGGGAAGACCAGACCACAAAGAGCUGUGUUCUCUUGGGGAAGAGACACUGCCCCUACCAGGAAGCUGGAGGCUGAGUGGCUGGAGGGGCUCUCAGAGG